rnacentral:rRNA from 1 species
AACGAACGCUGGCGGCAUGCCUAACACAUGCAAGUCGAACGAGACCUUCGGGACUAGUGGCGCACGGGUGCGUAAAGCGUGGGAAGCUGCACUUAGACGCGGAAAACCUCCCUGAAAGGGGGGCUCAUACCGGAGAAUGUACUCGGACCACAGAUUUAUCGCCUUGGGAUGGGUCCGCGUUGGAUUAGCAAGUUGGUAGGGUAAAAGCCUACCAAGGUGACGAUCCAUAGCUGGUCUGAGAGGAUGAUCAGCCACACUGGGACUGAGACACGGCCCAGACUCCUACGGAAGGCAGCAGUGGGGAAUAUUGGACGAUGGGCGAGAGCCUGAUCCAGCAAUGCCGCGUGAGUGAUGAAGGCCUUAGGGUUGUAAAGCGCUUGUACCCGGGAUGAUAAUGACAGUACCGGGAGAAUAAGCCCCGGCUAACUCCGUG